UUACGGCCAUAUCACAUUGAAACAGAUUCCCGUACUAUCAUCGAAGUUAAGCAACGUCGGGCUUGAUCAGUACAUAAAUGAGUGACCGCUUGGUAAUGCCUGGUGCUGUAAGC